rnacentral:pre_miRNA from 1 species
GUUGAGGGGAAUGUUGGCUGGCUCGAGGCUUUCAGGUUAGCUCUGGUAUGAGGAGAGAAGUGAAGGCGUCGGACCAGGCUUCAUUCCCCUCAAC